rnacentral:tRNA from 1 species
AAGGUGAGUAAUAAGAUAGGAUAAUUUAGUCUGUUAGGUUCAUACCCUAAGGGUGUUUUCUCUUAUUA